rnacentral:sRNA from 1 species
CUAUGGCAUGGAGCUCUGUCCUCUCAUGGUUUUUACUUUGCGUAGGUUGGCUUUUAAAAGCAUGUUGGGCAGUUAGUUACAUAGUUAACUAUGUAGGCUCGCUCAGGGAAAAAAAAUUGUUUGCUCUUAACUGUAAAACCUAGAUUGAGCCCUAUACUAACUAACUACACUACAACUAAACUACCCGUUUUGACGAAUUUGUGGAGAAGUUGGAAGAAGGGUUUUGGUUCCGUGUUGGGGUAUUCAAUGUAAUAUCUCUUUUCUAUAUAUCUAUAUAUCUAACUAUUUGUAUAUAUAUUUAUAUAUUUAUAUUUAAGGGGAAAGAGGGAAUAGGUGUGAUAUUUUUGGCUUAAAAGAUGG